rnacentral:lncRNA from 1 species
GUCACCGGACGCGCCCGCUUCUCGCUGGAGUGCGCACCGAGCGGCAGUGACUUCGCCGCUGCUGUAGUUCCCCGGCUGGAUGCGGUGACUGGUGCCAGUGCUCAGGCGCCCGCUGCCCUUGACCUCCCGCCCCGCGAGCCCUAACUCAGCGCAGGAGGACCGGCUGCCGCCGCCGCCGCCGCCAGAGCCUUGGCUGCCCAGUUGCCAGUCCUACCACGGUCGGAGGUAACCUUCCUGGCUCCAGUCACAUGGCCAGAUAAGGUGGUGUGUGUGGGCAUGAAUUAUGUGGACCACUGCAAAGAACAGAACGUGCCCGUGCCCAAGGAGCCCAUCAUCUUCAGCAAGUUUGCCAGCUCCAUCGUGGGGCCCUAUGAUGAGGUGGUCCUCCCACCACAGAGCCAGAUCCACACAACUUAAAGAUCUGCUGUCGAGUGAAUGGGGAAGUGGUCCAGAGCAGCAACACCAACCAGAUGGUAUUCAAGACAGAGGACCUGAUAGCCUGGGUGUCCCAGUUUGUUACCUUUUACCCAGGGGAUGUCAUCCUGACUGGGACCCCCCCACCUCCACCCAGGUGUCGGUGUAUUCAGGAAACCUCCUGUCUUUCUCAAGAAGGGGGAUGAAGUCCAGUGUGAGAUUGAAGAACUAGGUGUCAUCAUCAACAAGGUGGUGUGAUGGCUCCUGCACAGGCCCUGCACAUAGGAUGAGGGCAUCUGCUCCCACUCAGCCUAGCCCAGGGAAAGGCCCAGUGACAGGUGUGGACAGGUGCCAGCCCUGCAAGCCGCCUCUUCUCGGUAGAAGGGAGAAGGACAGAGCUCUCUUCAAUAAAUUCGUCGGGUCAAAGCAGCA